ensembl:lncRNA
CUCCCGACUGCCCAGGAGCCCGCGGGAAGGUGUUUCUGAGCUCGUUCACGAGGCACUGGCGUUCCGAGUGACUCGGCGUCGCGCACCGGGGGUACGGUGUGAAUUCACAGCGGGCAGAGAGAUGGACACAGGGUGUCACUGUCACAGGGCGGUCAUGGGUCUCCUGCACCAUCCACUUCCUCUCUGCCGUGCUGUGGGCGGGUGGGACCCACACAGCUUCGGUCCGAAGCCAGGGAGAGCGGUGGAAGACUGAACCCGUCAUGUUCGGGUUGUUGUGUAGUCUGCGUAGUGGCCCCCGCGCUGGUGCUGGCGUCCCUUGAGCCCGCGGCUGUGCCUGUUUUCUGCGUAUCCGGGGAUUGACC